rfam:Oryza glumipatula chromosome 8, whole genome shotgun sequence.
UUUAACUGCAAACAUUAGUUUUCAUGCCCAACUUUGAUCGUCCGUCUUAUUUAAAAUAUUUUUAUAAUUAGUAUUUUUGUUGUUAUGAAAUGAUAAAACAUGAAUAGUACUUUAUGUGUGACUCAUGUUUUUAAUUUUUUUUCAAAAAAAAUUCUAAUAAGACGGAUGAUCAAAGUUGGGUAAGGAAAAUCAUGCCUGCACUUAAA